AAUACAUUGUGACCAAGUUUAAGUGUAAGGUUCGUUGAAUUUUUUCCCCAAAUGGUUAGACUUAAAUCGUUAGAAGCUCUGUGAAAAAUUGAAAAUAAAUUGGUUCGUUUUGGAAACCAGAUAUUGUUAAUUGAGUGAAAAAAAUUUAACUAAAAAAAUAACAAAAAGUCUGGACAUAAAGUUUAGAAAACGAAUGGGAAAAAAAACAAAUUAAAUAUAGAAAUUAUUAAAAGAAUAAAAUAAAUAAAAUAAAUAAACUUGUGCAAUAAUUUAACACAACAACCACAACUGUAUAAAGUGUAUAAAAAGCGUAUUUAAAGAGGUGCCUUUUAAAGGCCUUCCAAGAAAAAGAAAUAGAAUCCUAACAAAAUACGCAACACAUCAAA